ensembl:lncRNA
AUGAGGCUGAGGGUGAUUAAGUACCAAGUGAGUGGUAGUGACAGGUGUAGGAUCCUGGUGAAGGAGGAACGGCCCUGCCCACAUGCACAGCCAGGAGCUGCCUUGUGGCAAGGCUCCUCCCUGGAUGUGGGAGCAGAGGAGGCGGCAAACCAGAGAAGAUUGCAGUUGUCCAUAGGUAACUGAAACUUCAGAAAGCAAAACCACGAGUAAGAGGGAACCACUGUACCUGGCCAUGCAGCACCUUGCUACUUAAGCAGCUUAUUAUGAACUAAGAUACUGUUUCGGAAAGAAUAUUCCAGUAACACCCAGAAACUUCCCUGAGGUAUGAGGACCUUCUGGCACACACGUCUCGGCAAGAUAUAAGUGAACUUGCUUCUUCUGCUCUCCAGACUAUCCACCAUGUGUCAUCAAUGUAACAGGCUUACAGGAUCCCCUGCAAAAUUAUGAGAUGGGAAAGUCUCCUCUGUACUACAUUAUGGCAGAGCCAGAGUCGACAUAACUUUGAAGCAAAAUGGUGAAGAAGUACUGUUGUCUCUGCUAGGUAAAAGCAAACUGCUUCUUGUUUUUGUCUUCUUAUUGGGGUAGCUGAAAAAGCACUUUGUAGAUUAAUAGUUGUGUAUUAGGGACCACAGGCUUUUGAGGUUUUGGAACUUUGUCAAUUUGCUUCGAUAAGGAAAUCACAUCUUGGAUCAGUGACUGCAAUAGAAGUCUCUUCCUGAUUAAGCUUUUGAUAGUCCACUGCUAUUUUUCAACCUCCAAGUAUCUUUCUGUACCCACUAAAUAUAGUGAUAUACAGAAAUAACCACUCAUCUAUAUUUCAAGUCUUUGGUGAUGCCACAAAUGUCUGCAGUUCCCUCAGGAAAGGGUGGCUGCUCUUGAUUUACUUUUCUAGCAGGGAGGGGGAGUUUUCAUUUUCUCUCUUCUGCAAUAAUAGCCUUUAUUUAUGGGUCCCAGAGGCAAUAUGGAAUUCUACUAUGGAAUUCUACCAAGCCGAGCCUCUAUAUUUCCAUCAGACACUACAGGACUAGAGAAAUAACCACAGGGUGAGCUGAAGGCUCUAUCGAGUCAGUUGCGAGGCAGCCUACAAUAAAAAUGGAGUUGAUCACCUGACACUGGGUAUUAGUUAUCUAUAGCUAUGUGUCAAGUUACCCAAAACUUAAUAGCUGAGAACAGCACUUACUAUCUCACAGCAUCUGUGGUUCAGGAAUGCCGGAGCAGCGUGGCUGCAUGGUCCUGGCUGAGCAUCCCUCUCAGCCUGCUGUCAUCUCAAGGCUUCCCUGAGGGAUGAUCCACCCCCGAGCUCAGUCACGUGGUCACUGGCAGGCCGUGGUUCUUUGAUAUGUGGGCCUUUUUAUGCCUCACAACGUGGGAGCUUUCUUCCCCCAGCUGAGCAAUCCAAGAGAGUAUGAGAGAGAACCCAAAGUCCAAAAAAUAUAUAUAUUUUUAUAACCCAAUCGUGGAAGUGACAUUCCCUAAGUUCUGCCAUAUUUCAUUUACUAGACCAAAUAAACCCAGCCCACAUUCAAGCAGAGGGGAUUCCACAAGGGUAUGGAUACCGCAGGCAAG